rnacentral:rRNA from 1 species
UCGAGCGGCAGCGCGGGGGCAACCCUGGCGGCGAGCGGCGAACGGGUGAGUAAUGUAUCGGAACGUACCCAGUCGUGGGGGAUAACUAUCCGAAAGGAUAGCUAAUACCGCAUACGUCCUGAGGGAGAAAGCGGGGGACCGUAAGGCCUCGCGCGAUUGGAGCGGCCGAUAUCGGAUUAGCUAGUUGGUGAGGUAAAGGCUCACCAAGGCGACGAUCCGUAGCUGGUCUGAGAGGACGACCAGCCACACUGGAACUGAGACACGGUCCAGACUCCUACGGGAGGCAGCAGUGGGGAAUUUUGGACAAUGGGGGCAACCCUGAUCCAGCCAUUCCGCGUGAGUGAAGAAGGCCUUCGGGUUGUAAAGCUCUUUCAGCAGGAACGAAACGGUGGUCCCUAAUACGGGCUACUAAUGACGGUACCUGAAGAAGAAGCACCGGCUAACUACGUGCCAGCAGCCGCGGUAAUACGUAGGGUGCGAGCGUUAAUCGGAAUUACUGGGCGUAAAGCGUGCGCAGGCGGUUAUAUAAGACAGAUGUGAAAUCCCCGGGCUUAACCUGGGAACUGCGUUUGUGACUGUAUAACUCGAGUGUGGCAGAGGGGGGUGGAAUUCCACGUGUAGCAGUGAAAUGCGUAGAGAUGUGGAGGAACACCGAUGGCGAAGGCAGCCCCCUGGGUCAACACUGACGCUCAUGCACGAAAGCGUGGGGAGCAAACAGGAUUAGAUACCCUGGUAGUCCACGCCCUAAACGAUGC